rnacentral:rRNA from 2 species
GAAUUUAAACCUCUUCCAGAGUAUCAAUUGGAGGGCAAGUCUGGUGCCAGCAGCCGCGGUAAUUCCAGCUCCAAUAGCGUAUAUUAAAAUUGUUGCAGUUAAAAAGCUCGUAGUUGAAUUUCUGCUGCAUUGCAUUUUCUCCUAUACGAGUUUUUGCAUUGUGGCUUAUUUCGGUUAUAAAAUUUAUUUUAUUUCCGGAUGUUUACUUUGAGAAAAUUAGAGUGCUCAAAGCAGGCUUUUGCCUUGAAUAGUUUAGCAUGGAAUAAUAAAGUAGGACUUUGGUUCUAUUUUGUUGGUUUUAGGUACCAAAGUAAUGGUUAAUAGGAACAGUUGGGGGCAUUCGUAUUUAACUGUCAGAGGUGAAAUUCUUAGAUUUGUUAAAGACGAACUACUGCGAAAGCAUUUGCCAAGGAUGUUUUCAUUAAUCAAGAACGAAAGUUAGGGGAUCGAAGACGAUCAGAUACCGU